UACAGAGGGUGCAAGCGUUGUUCGGAAUUAUUGGGCGUAAAGGGCGCGUAGGCGGUGUGGUAAGUCUGUAGUGAAAUCUCUGGGCUCAACUCAGAGUCUGCUGCAGAAACUGCCGUGCUUGAGUGUGGGAGAGGUGAGUGGAAUUCCCGGUGUAGCGGUGAAAUGCGUAGAUAUCGGGGAGGAACACCUGUGGCGAAAGCGGCUCACUGGACCACAACUGACGCUGAGGCGCGAAAGCGUGGGGAGCAAACAGG
rnacentral:rRNA from 1 species